rnacentral:rRNA from 1 species
AACGAACGCUGGCGGCAGGCCUAACACAUGCAAGUCGAGCGAGGUAGCAAUACCUAGCGGCGGACGGGUGAGUAACGCGUGGGAACGUGCCCUUUGCUUCGGAAUAGCCCCGGGAAACUGGGAGUAAUACCGAAUGUGCCCUACGGGGGAAAGAUUUAUCGGCAAAGGAUCGGCCCGCGUUGGAUUAGGUAGUUGGUGGGGUAAUGGCCUACCAAGCCGACGAUCCAUAGCUGGUUUGAGAGGAUGAUCAGCCACACUGGGACUGAGACACGGCCCAGACUCCUACGGGAGGCAGCAGUGGGGAAUCUUAGACAAUGGGCGCAAGCUUGAUCUAGCCAUGCCGCGUGAGCGAUGAAGGCCUUAGGGUUGUAAAGCUCUUUCGUGGGGGAAGAUAAUGACGGUACCCCAAGAAGAAGCCCCGGCUAACUCCGUGCCAGCCGCCGCGGUAAGAC